UGGGGAAUAUUGCGCAAUGGGCGGAAGCCUGACGCAGCGACGCCGCGUGGGGGAUGACGGCCUUCGGGUUGUAAACCUCUUUCAGCGCCGAAGAAGCGGAAGUGACGGUAGGCGCAGAAGAAGCACGGGCUAACUACGUGCCAGCAGCCGCGGUAAUACGUAGGGUGCAAGCGUUGUCCGGAAUUAUUGGGCGUAAAGAGCUCGUAGGCGGCUUGUCGCGUCGGAUGUGAAAUCCCGGGGCUCAACCCUGGGUCUGCAUUCGAUACGGGCAGGCUAGAGUUCGGUAGUGGGGACUGGAAUUCCUGGUGUAGCGGUGAAAUGCGCAGAUAUCAGGGGGAACACCGGUGGCGAAGGCGGGUCUCUGGGCCGAUACUGACGCUGAGGAGCGAAAGCGUGGGGAGCGAACAGG
rnacentral:rRNA from 1 species